rnacentral:misc_RNA from 1 species
AACAGAGCUAAACCCCUUUCAGCUUCAUCAACAUCAGUCCUAAAAAUCACAGAAAUUGGUACCCUUCUUCUCGUCGAUGGCCAAACUGGGAAUUCCGUUUGGUCUUCCGAUCAAACUCCGGCGACCAACGUUGUAGCCCAACUACUUGACUCCGGGAACUUUGUCAUUCGACCGGAAAACGAUGACAGGGAACAGAGUUACCUAUGGCAGAGCUUUGAUUAUCCAACAAACACUUUAUUACCUGGGAUGAAACUUGGGUGGGAUUCAAAAUCCGGGAUGAAUAGAAACAUAACAUCAUGGAAAUCAGCAAUUGACCCAGCUCCCGGAGAUUACACUUUCAAGAUCAACACCAGUGGGUUCCCGGAAAUUUACUUGACGAAUAAACAAGAAAUUAUCUACCGGAGCGGGGCUUGGAAUGGAAUUAGAUUCAGUGGGGUACCGGAAAUGAAGGCAAGUGAUAUUAUCUCAUUCGAAUUUCAGUUCAAAUCCGAUGAAAUUACUUAUACGUUCAAACUACACAACAAAACUUUAUACUCAAGAUUGUUCGUGAGUCACAGUGGUUUUCUUGAAAGAUUCGCUUGGAUCCCAACAAGCAACCUAUGGAAUCGAUUUUGGUAUGCUCCAAAAGAUCAAUGUGACGGAUACACAGAGUGUGGGAUAUCUGGAAUUUGUGACACAAAUAUUUCACCAAUCUGCAAAUGUAUGGUGGGAUUCAAGCCUAGAAAUCAAGUGGCCUGGGAUUUGCGAGAUGGGUCUGAUGGUUGUGUUCGUUUUCAUAAUUUGGAUUGUAAAACUGAUAAAUUUAACAUAUUGAAGAACAUGAAGUUGCCAGAUACGACGAAUUCGUUUGUGGAUACGACUAUGAAUUUGGAUGAAUGUGAAGCUAUGUGUAUGAAGAAUUGUUCUUGCACGGCCUAUACAAAUUCGAACAUUAGCGGAAGCGGGUCGGGUUGUGUGAUUUGGAGCUCCGAACUUGUUGAUAUGCGGCAGUAUGCGGUGGCGGAAGGUGGCCAAGUUCUCUACGUUAGGGUGGCUUCUUCUGAUGCAGUGCAAAUUGGAGGUGAAGGAUCUGGAAAUAGUUCUCGCAAGACAAAAAUAGUUGCAAUAGCUGCUGGGGUUACAGUUGGUAUAGCUCUUGUGUUAUUUGGACUAACCCUUUGCAUCUUAUCAAAGAGAAGAAAACAUCAAAGUUCAAUCCGAACUAAAUCCGUGAACAGAGGCACUAGCGAACGAAGUCAAGAGCUUUUGAUGAAUGCAACUAUUAUUCCAAGUAAAAGAGAAUUUUCUGGUGAAACUUCCACGGAAGAGUUUGAAUUGCCAUUGUUUGAUUACAGUACCCUAGCUACGGCAACAGAAAAUUUUUCUGACGCGACUAAGUUGGGCCAAGGUGGCUUUGGUUGUGUUUACAAGGCAAUGCUGGUUGGUCAAGAAGUAGCAGUCAAAAGGCUCUCGAAGAAUUCUGGACAAGGAGUAGAGGAAUUUAAAAAUGAGCUAAGAUUGAUUGCCAGGCUUCAACACAGAAAU